rnacentral:rRNA from 1 species
UACUGUGGCCAAACCUUAUCAGUGUCUGAUCUCAUCUGCUCAGGGGCUAAGCAGGGCUGGGCCCGAUUAGUGCUUGAAUGGGACACCACUGGGAGUACCAGGUGCCACAGUGA